GUUCAUCUUUUCCUGUCGUCAUGUCAAUUUGCAUGACUUGAACCUGAAGAGCUGGAAGAUGUUCCUGUCUCCCAGGACAGCUGUGUAGCCUCUAUUUCGGGCACUCUUUUGGACCCUUUCAGAAGAAGGUGAGCUGACAACGCAGACUAAAACAGUGAGGAUCAAGGCAUGAAAGUUCAAGGACAGUGAAGGAGAACAAACGUUCAGUGGAGAAGCAGAGCUGCUAUAGUGCCUACACCUGCGUGUUCUCCUCCACGUCUGUGUACUGUUAGCAGGGUCCGGGAGAUGUGUGGUGUCUCGCGCCAAGAAAAGAGUCAGCCUUUUUUCUGAGAGAGAGAACAACCUGCGUUGCAUUUUGAGAAGGCUCUCAGGCACUAUAAUGCAAAGACAGAUUGCCGCAUGGUGUGUACUGAGACGAGUAUUUCAUACUCAGUCCUACUGCGGAGAAACAGCCAUUUCCUAACAAUUUGUGCAAGUCUCGACUUACCUGAGACAGGAUGAGCUGAUUAUUCCGACUGAGCUUCUUCAAAUGCCUUCCUGCAUUGGUCAGACGCUGCAUGCUUCAGUCAGUCGUGAUUUAGCCAAUUCUUGACCUCCAACUUGUAAUCCAUCAAUAAGUAAUGUCCAGCUGCGCUCUUCGGAAUACUAGAAGGAACACAUUGGAGCCCAUUCCUUGUGUAGAGUGCAUGAGGCGCAGGGGGAUUCCCUUGACGACCGGGAGGAGGAAAGCUGUCUGCACAGCAAACGGAGAACUCGUUCUUAGCG
rnacentral:lncRNA from 1 species